GGAUGUGAGGGCAAUCUGGCUGUGACAUCUAUCACCUCAUUGAUCACCAGUGUUGAUUUGGCUGCUCUGGUUGGCUAGGCAGGUGUCCCCUUCCUCCCUCACCACUCCAUGUGUGUCCCUCCCAAAGCUCAAUGCUUGGUCAAAGAGGACUACCUUCCCUGAUAGAGGAGGACCAUUCUUUGGUCAAAGGUAUAUGAGUAGCUGUGCUCCCCUGCUAGAACCUUCAAAACAAGCUCUCAAGAAUGAGGAGACCCACAAGGAGGAAGGGAAAGGUUUUAAGGAAGAAGAGAAGGAGUUUGGAACCUACAAAAGAAUGAGCAGACUUCGUGUGUGUGCGCGCGCGCGCGUUUGUGU
rnacentral:snRNA from 1 species